AAAAGAAAAAAAAUAAAAUAAAAAAGGAAUUAGGGUUUUUUCCUCUUCAGAUGGAUCCGGGAAAGUUACUUUCCUCCGACGAAGAACUUGGAGUUUGUCAACCAGCGGCGGAGGAUCGAGGAAUCGACGGAGAAGAAGUAGCGGACAAGGACGCCGACCAAGGAAAGUCAUCCUCUUCCAGCGAAAUGUCAUCCCUAAACCGGGAUGGACUUCAGUUUGACGACCUCGACACCAAUUACGAGUCCGGAGAGGAUUACGAGUACGUGCGCGGCGCCGAGUCCGACGAGGCCGAUUCUGACGGGUCCGAAUCCGAGCCCGACGGGUCGGGGUCAGGGUCCGAGUCCGAGUCCGACUGGUCCGAACACCACGCUUUCCUGUUCGACCCUUUUUUUUGGAUGAAUGGUGUAUAAAAAAUGAGGAAGAAUUGGAGAAAUAUUAUGAUGUGGUGUUUAAUUUGGAGAAGACGAGAGGCCGUUUUUUUAACUGUCUUGAAGACUUGAAGACUGAUGGCUUUUUCUACAGAUAUGUUAAGAACAGGGUGAAUACUGCUAUUAUUCACUAUAACAAGAAAAAUCAAACUGGCUUUAGAGCAGGCAAGAUUUUGAAUUGCGUUCUCACUACAGCUGGGGGCGCCAAGUUCUAUUUGACCUUUGUGGCCAAGGAUUUCAAUACUGGUGAUGUGGGGGAAUUCCAAGCGUGUGUGCAUGAAUCUGCUGCUGGGGGUGAUAGGAAAGUCUACCUUUGCAGGCUUAAAAUUCCUAAGGAACCAUGCGAGGGUGAUGGCAAAUGCAUUUGAAGGAGGAGGAAUUUCAUGAUUGACUUGGGAAUUGAGUGGAUGCCACUGUGUGUGGAGAUUUGAAUCUUUGCUGAAAUCACUUGGGAAUAUUGUCUUAGAUGCUGAAAUUACUUUGUUGCUGGCUGCUGACUUGGUUUUUGUUGGUGUGGUCGUUGACUCAAAACACUUUGUUGAUGAUUUGGUCUUUUUGUUUUAUGUCUGCGUUUGAGUUUAUUGGGAUGGUCGUCUACCAUGUGGUUGCUGAGUUUUAUUUGUAUUAAAUGAGAUUGUUAAUUGUGUAAUUAAAGAAGGUAUGGAAGCUUACUAUCUGGGAACUCGAGACUCGCUACUAGGCGAAACCUCCUUAAGGCUGAUAGCGGAAGUGGGUCCAACGGCAACCUCUUGUAAUCCCUCAUCAGCCUCUUAGUUGUCCGACAUUGAUGGGGCUAGGGAUUGGUUGGACAGAGUCCUGGGAGUGGAUGAUGGUGUGUAGCUUAUAAAUUGAACCCUGUUUUAGGUUGAAAAUUUUGUUUGACUA